CAAUAGCGUAUAUUUAAUUUGUUGCGGUUAAAACUUCGUAGUUGGAUUUCUGUGGUAGGCGGCCGGUCCACACUAUGUGUGAUUAGUUGGCUGCAUCCUACUGGAGAACGUUGGUGCGCUUCACUGCGUGGCGCGGAAUUCAGGACUUGUACUUGAGGAAGUCACAGUGUUCACGGCAGGCGUUUGCCCUGAAUAUAUUAGCAUGGAAUAAUGAUAUGGGAUCCACAUCCUUUUUGUUGGUUUUCUAGGACGAGGACAAUGUAUUAACACGUCAGGUGGAAUUCUUGGAUUGUGUUACGACGAACUACUGCGAAAGCAUUUGCCAAGGAUGUUUUCACUGAUCAAGAACGAAAGUAAGGGGAUCGAAGACGAUCAGAUACC
rnacentral:rRNA from 1 species